rnacentral:tRNA from 1 species
GUUGGUAGCUCAAUGGUAGAGCAGCGGCCUUUUAAGCCGUUGGUUGAGGGUUCGAGUCCCUCCCGACC